AUUGAACGCUGGCGGCAGGCCUAACACAUGCAAGUCGAGCGGAGCGGCGGACGGGUGAGUAAUGACUAGGAAUCUGCCUGGUAGUGGGGGAUAAAGACCGGCAACGGGCGCUAAUACAGCACACUAGCAGUCGAGCGUAGGUGGACUUGGCUAGCUGGUGGGGGAAAGGCUUACCAAGGCGACGCUCCGUACCUGGUCUGAGAGGAUGAUCAGUCACACUGGGACUGAGACACGGUCCAGACUCCUACGGGAGGCAGCAGUGGGGAAUAUUGGACAAUGGGCGAAAGCCUGAUCCAGCCAUGCCGCGUGUAUGAAGAAGGCCUUCGGAUUGUAAAGCACUUUAAGUUGGGAGGCGUUACCAACAGAAUAAGCACCGGCUAACUUCGUGCCAGCCGCCGCGGUAAUUC
rnacentral:rRNA from 1 species